AAAAAGACCUGGCAGGGGAGAUACCAUGAUCACAAAGGUGGUUUUCUCAGGGUGAGGCUUAUCCGGAUGUACUCUGGAUGUGCUGACCCCUGCAAUUUCCCCUAAUGUGGGAAAUUCAGCUGCAUGAUUUGUGGUAGUGGGGGACAACAUUGGUGCUCUCUCCUU